rnacentral:tRNA from 2 species
GGGGCCUUGGCGCAGCUGGUUAGCGCAUUCGGCUCAUAACCGACCGGGCCUGGGUUCGAGCCCCAGAGGCCCCACCA